rnacentral:lncRNA from 1 species
ACCAAACUAGUGAACUACAACGUGUUUCAUGUUAUUUAUUUGGUUAUAUAGUUAAGCCCAUUAAUUGUCCCUAGCCCCUAGGCCCAUUAUCAACCUAUCGUCGAAGUUUGAUGGAAUUUUUUACAGAGCUCGACGGAAUGUUGCAACCCCAGCGGCGAGUGUUUCCGAUUCCGUUCAGGUACGUUACUAUAUAUAUAAGAAUCUCUAAAUUCGUUGAAUUAUCCGAAUCUGUUUGUUCAUGGUGAUGUUGUGAACCGAACACGAAAGAAUUGCAUAGGCUUAUUAUUGUAUUAAUUUGAAAAACGAGAGAGAAUUGGUGUUUGGCUUAGUUAAAUUCACAUUGCUAAACCAAAUCAUCUCAUACAAUGCUUACAUAUUCGUUAAAUUCAGCAUCUUUGACUAAUUUUUCCACUACCUGAGGCAGUAAACAAGCCUGAAAAUCAAGACUUGCUUCUCCAAUUCCUUUGAAAACAACGAGUCUUCCAUUGAGAUACGGUGGUCCAGCUCUUGCAGCUAUCGGUUUACCCCAACCGAAAUCAUUACAGUACACAUCGAACCGGUGAGAGUUUGUGACAACUAAAUCUUUGCUACCAACAGAAACCGGAAUCUUGAUAUUUUUCACCCAAUUCUCUGCAAAUGCUUUGGCUUUUUCAUCAGUUUGUGACAGCUCCAUGUUGUUGAUUUGCAUUGCAGCCCAGCCUAGUCCAUGGUCCAGCAGCUCUCCAACCGUGACCGUAGCUAUCCCGGUUUGGCUUACAUUCCCAAAACACUCUUCUUCUAGUGGCGGAUUUAGCCGUUGCCUCAUGUUUAUAGGUAACCUGCAAUGAGUCUCUUCCUCUCGGCUCAUGCCACUGUGUUUAACCAUUGAACGCCAUAUAUAUGCUAACACCGCUUGAAUAGAAGAGAUCUUUUGAUCAGCCUCGUCGUUGGCUUUAGCGUCAAGUUUCAAAACAUUCUCUUUUGUAACAUGAAACAUCUUCUCUUGUAGAUUGGUUGGUGUUGUUACAUAACUAGUUGGUUUUGUUUCAGGGUCUGGAAUAUGGAUUGGAUAAUCAAUCUCGUCAAAGAACCAACCUUUAAGGUGAAGACGACGUUGGAAAGUUUGGGAUCCUGAAGAAUCUUUCGAGCAAAUCUCUGACCAUGCAUUGAUGAACUUCC